rnacentral:rRNA from 1 species
GAUGAACGCUGGCGGCGUGCCUAAUACAUGCAAGUCGAGCGAACAGACGAGGAGCUUGCUCCUCUGACGUAAGCGGCGGACGGGUGAGUAACACGUGGAUAACCUACCUAUAAGACUGGGAUAACUUCGGGAAACCGGAGCUAAUACCGGAUAAUAUAUUGAACCGCAUGGUUCAAUAGUGAAAGACGGUUUUGCUGUCACUUAUAGAUGGAUCCGCGCCGCAUUAGCUAGUUGGUAAGGUAACGGCUUAACAAGGCAACGAUGCGUAGCCGACCUGAGAGGGUGAGCGGCCACACUGGAACUGAGACACGGUCCAGACUCCUACGGGAGGCAGCAGUAGGGAAUCUUCCGCAAUGGGCGAAAGCCUGACGGAGCAACGCCGCGUGAGUGAUGAAGGUCUUCGGAUCGUAAAACUCUGUUAUUAGGGAAGAACAAAUGUGUAAGUAACUAUGCACGUCUUGACGGUACCUAAUCAGAAAGCCACGGCUAACUACGUG